rnacentral:rRNA from 1 species
CUGGCGGCGUGCCUAACACAUGCAAGUCGAGCGAUGAAGGGAGCUUGCUCCUGGAUUAGCGGCGCACGGGUGAGUAACGCGUGGAUAAUCUACCCACGAGAUCGGGAUACCAGCUGGAAACGGCUGACAAUACCGGGUAACAUACAAUUUUACUAUUGUGUCAAAGGCGGGGCAACCUGUCGCUUGUGGAUGAGUCCGCGUCUCAUUAGCUAGUUNNNAAGGUAAUGGCUUACCAAGGCAAUGAUGAGUAGCCGGCCUGAGAGGGNNAUCGGCCACACUGGGACUNNAACACGGCCCAGACUCCUACGGGAGGCAGCAGUGGGGAAUAUUGCGCAAUGGACGAAAGUCUGACGCAGCGACGCCGCGUGAGGGAUGAAGGCCUUCGGGUUGUAAACCUCUGUCAGGAGGGAAGAACCGCCAUGGUAGUAACUGCCCAUGGUCUGACGGUACCUCCAAAGGAAGCACCGGCUAACUCCGUGCCAGCAGCCGCGGUAGCAUGGCUGUCGUCAGCUCGUGCCGUGAGGUGUUGGGUUAAGUCCCGCAACGAGCGCAACCCCUAUUGUUAGUUGCCAGCAGGUGAAGCUGGGCACUCUAACGAGACUGCUGUGGUCAACACAGAGGAAGGUGGGGACGACGUCAANNNNNNNNNNNCCCUUACNNNNNGGGCUAGACACGUACUACAAUGGCGCACACAAAGGGCUGCGAAACNNNGAGGUCAAGCCAAUCCCAAAAAGUGCGUCUCAGUCCGGACUGCAGUCUGCAACUCGACUGCACGAAGUUGGAAUCGCUAGUAAUUCUGGAUCAGCAUGCCAGGGUGAAUACGUUCCCGGGCCUUGUACACACCGCCCGUCACACCACGAAAGUUGGUUUUACCCAAAAC